rnacentral:rRNA from 1 species
GACGAACGCUGGCGGCAUGCCUAAGACAUGCAAGUCGAACGAACAAAUCGGUGCUUGCACCGAUGCGUUAGUGGCGAACGGGUGAGUAACACGUAGGUAACCUACCUUGAAGACGGGGACAACAGUUGGAAACGACUGCUAAUACCGGAUAGGUAAUUGAUUCGCAUGAAUCGAUUAUUAAAGGAGCUUUCAAGCUUCACUUCGAGAUGGACCUGCGCCGUAUUAGCUAGUUGGUGAGGUAACGGCUCACCAAGGCGACGAUGCGUAGCCGAGCUGAGAGGCUGAUCGGCCACACUGGAACUGAGACACGGUCCAGACUCCUACGGGAGCAAGCAGUUAGGAAUAUUGGGCAAUGGAGGAAACUCUGACCCAGCAAACUGACCCG